CUUUCUAGAGAAGCAUGGCACGCGGCGAUCGGCUCUGGACGAGCGUUAACUUAGAAUAUUUAAUUGUUGCGGAAUGUGUCAAUCAAGAUCGGCUGUGGGAUGGAUGUCGUCGCGAUGUCCAAUUGAAUGUGGCGAAUGUGGGGCGGAUCGGCCUGAAUGAGUGGCAUCGCUAAUUAUUUUAUUGAACAUGACAAAUCGAAGCCAAAUCGGCUUUAGAAUGAAUAUUAUCAUCGCAACGUUUACUUUGAUUGUUGUAUAUAUUUAACUGUGCUGUUGCGUAUCGUGUGCGACAACGUAAAGUGGAAUUCUGACAAAUUAUGAGGAAGUGGAAGAAAUGAAAACUUGAGAGGAGGAGGAGGUCAUCGGGAGAGGCAUUGGGUAUCGGUGGAGCACC
rnacentral:lncRNA from 13 species